ACGGACCUCGGAUCAGGCCAGAUCACCCGCUGAAUUUAAGCAUAUUAAUAAGCGGAGGAGAAGAAACUAACAAGGAUUCCCUCAGUAACGGCGAGCGAAGCGGGAAUUGCUCAAAUUUAAAAUCUCCGGUGGUGACGCCGGCGAAUUGUAGUCUGGAGGGCCGGCUUCGCCCUAGGCGGUGUCCUCAAAGUCGUCCUGGAAAGGCGGGCCGAAGAGGGUGAGAGCCCCGUGCGCGGGGGCACCGCCGAAGGCAAGAUCCGUGCCCGAAGAGUCGGGCUGUUUGGGAUUGCAGCCCAAAACGGGUGGUAAACUCCAUCUAAAGCUAAAUACUGGCACGAGACCGAUAGCGAACAAGUACCG
rnacentral:rRNA from 1 species